rnacentral:rRNA from 1 species
GUGCUAAUACCGCAUAACCAUAGUUACCGCAUGGUAACUAUGUAAAAGGUGGCUAUGCUACCGCUUUUGGAUGGGCCCGCGGCGCAUUAGCUAGUUGGUGGGGUAAAGGCUUACCAAGGCAAUGAUGCGUAGCCGAACUGAGAGGUUGAUCGGCCACAUUGGGACUGAGACACGGCCCAAACUCCUACGGGAGGCAGCAGUAGGGAAUCUUCCACAAUGGGCGAAAGCCUGAUGGAGCAACGCCGCGUGGGUGAAGAAGGUCUUCGGAUCGUAAAACCCUGUUGUUAGAGAAGAAAGUGCGUGAGAGUAACUGUUCACGUUUCGACGGUAUCUAACCAGAAAGCCACGGCUAACUACGUGCCAGCAGCCGCGGUAAUACGUAGGUGGCAAGCGUUAUCCGGAUUUAUUGGGCGUAAAGGGAACGCAGGCGGUCUUUUAAGUCUGAUGUGAAAGCCUUCGGCUUAACCGGAGUAGUGCAUUGGAAACUGGGAGACUUGAGUGCAGAAGAGGAGAGUGGAACUCCAUGUGUAGCGGUGAAAUGCGUAGAUAUAUGGAAGAACACCAGUGGCGAAAGCGGCUCUCUGGUCUGUAACUGA